rnacentral:rRNA from 1 species
UACGUAGGGGGCAAGCGUUGUCCGGAUUUAUUGGGCGUAAAGAGCGUGUAGGCGGCCAGGUAGGUCUGGUGUGAAAACUCGAGGCUCAACCUCAAGAGGUCAUCGGAAACCAUCUGGCUAGAGUCCGGAAGAGGAGAGUGGAAUUCCUGGUGUAGCGGUGAAAUGCGCAGAUAUCAGGAAGAACACCUAUGGCGAAGGCAGCUCUCUGGGACGGUACUGACGCUGAGACGCGAAAGCGUGGGGAGCGAACA